GUGUCUCACUUCAGUGACUCCUAUGCUAAAAUUGUCAUGAUAUAGGGACAUGGCCCCUGUGCAAGGAAGACCUAUAAAUUUAUGGAGUGGUCCGUAUGCUU
ensembl:snRNA LOC120094873 U6 spliceosomal RNA